GACAUGCGAUCUUCUUUUUGGCCUCCG
rnacentral:piRNA from 1 species